rnacentral:rRNA from 1 species
UACGUAGGGUGCGAGCGUUGUCCGGAAUUACUGGGCGUAAAGAGCUCGUAGGUGGUUUGUCGCGUUGUUCGUGAAAACCGGGGGCUUAACCCUCGGCGUGCGGGCGAUACGGGCAGACUGGAAUACUGCAGGGGAGACUGGAACUCCUGGUGUAGCGGUGGAAUGCGCAGAUAUCAGGAGGAACACCGGUGGCGAAGGCGGGUCUCUGGGCAGUAACUGACGCUGAGGAGCGAAAGCGUGGGGAGCGAACAGG